rnacentral:rRNA from 1 species
UACGAAGGUCCCAAGCGUUAUCCGGAUUUAUUGGGUCUAAAGGGUGCGUAGGCGGGCUAUUAAGUCAGUGGUGAAAUCUCCGAGCCUAACUCGGAAAUUGCCAUUGAUACUGAUGGUCUUGAGUACAUUUGAAGUGGGCGGAAUGUGUCAUGUAGCGGUGAAAUGCUUAGAUAUGACACAGAACACCGAUUGCGUAGGCAGCUCACUAAACUGUAACUGACGCUGAGGCACGAAAGCGUGGGGAGCAAACAGG